rnacentral:rRNA from 1 species
GUUUAUGGCCAUAUCACUUUGAAUUCACCGGUCCUCGUCCGAUCACCGAAGUUAAGCAACGUCGAGUCUUGUCAAUACUUAGAUGGGUGACCGCUUGAGAAACCUAGGUGCAGUAAGCA